CUCACUUUUUAACCGCCUCAUUGAAAAUAACUUGACGCACAGUACAGCACAGUAUCAGAAAAGUGAAAUAGGCUUAGAGAAAUAUGGAUAAUAUUUGUAAAUCAUCCAUUUUAUGGCAUUUGGAAGUAUCUAUAAUAGUACAGCGAUACAAAUCAUCUUAUGCGUUACAAUGCAUAUGUAAUUCAAUAAGCAACGCAGUGGACCGCGCCUGAAUUAUUAAGUUAACGCAAGAAAAAUUAAUAAGUUACCCAUGUUAACUAAUCGUAUCAAAUAAAACCUAGAUUACAGAAUAAAUACAACAAUAAGAACAAAUAUAAAAAAAAAAAAAAAAAAAAAAAACAGAUAAAUAAGUCAAAAGGCAUAUAAUACGUGAUAAACAUAGAUUAAGUAUAAUACUCCUACGUGUGCCAUUAUCUUUUUAUGAUAAUAAUAUAAUUACUUCGUAUUAGUCAACAUUAAUUAUUUAUGGUUCUAAGUCACACAUCAAAAUAAAAAGAAAUAUGAAAUACCAAGCUGAAACUGUUGUACGAAUAGUUUAGAUAGCAGUCAUUUGCAUUGCAUUUGACACUAUUUUUGUUAGUUGGCACUCUUGCGAUUUCAUCAUUUAGCUAAACGUUGGCAUGAUGUUAUCCGACCAAAUCCAUACAUUUAAACUUAGUGUGGAAUUUAUGUAAAAUUUUAUAGUAUGAUAAUACCGAAAAUGUAUUUAUAUCAUUGAAUUUAAUAUAAUAUAUUAAUUACUUGCUCUCUGCAGUUUAAUUUGCUACUAGGAGAAACUAAUGAGGAAUGGAAAAUAUUUAAAAAAAAAAAUUCAUCUGUAAGAAACACGCUAAUUUUGUUCAAAAAUAAAAAGAGCGACAAUUUUGGAGUUUCUUACGAAAUUCUUCAGUGUUCACUUUCCCGGAGUACAGAAUAUUUAUAAACGUUGCAAAUUUUGUUCAAAAAAGGAGGAAACGUAGAUUCAAUAUCGAAGGUUUUUCUUAGGAUGUUUCUCCUAAGACAGCAGUAAAGACAUUCCAAAGGGCAGUAAAAUCAUAAAACUUUAUGAUUUAAAAGAACUAGCAAAUAAGUGUAUUUGUAUAAAGAAUAUUUCUAUUCUAUUUAGUGAAAUUUUCGUCUAUUACAAACUUUUAUAGGAAAUCACCUAGUAACACUCUAGGGGUGACUUCCAGCUUAACUUUUGAUCUUAUGUGAAUAAAUUUGUCAACUAUGUUCAGUCAACAGUCGGCUAACAGUUUUUUGGUGCUCAACAUUCUAGUUUCGUACUCUGGUUGUAGGAAUAUGACCUAUUGGAGACCAAUAUAAUUAAAUAAUAUACAUGAUAGUUGAAUAAUUAUAUUUAUUUACAAUAGACUAAUAAAAACUUGUAAAUUUUAUAAAGACAAUUACCGGAAUAUUGAUUAUUGCAUUAGUGUAAAUAGAGGGUUCCAGUCUAGGUAACAUUGCAUUGUAUAAAAAAAUCACACUUUUGGACCCAUGAGCUUAAUCACUGUUUACAAGGCACAAGUAGUAUUGAACAGUUGUAUGAAUAAAAAGAAUUGUAUUGUAUUGUAUUGAACAAAAACAAUUGUAUGAAUAAAAAGAAUAAAAGAUUAAAAUAAAAAAUACAA